GGAAACCCAGGCUAAUACCGCAUACGUCCUACGGGAGAAAGGGGGCUCCGGCUCCCGCUAUGGGAUGAGCCUAUGUCGGAUUAGCUAGUUGGUGAGGUAACGGCUCACCAAGGCCACGAUCCGUAGCUGGUCUGAGAGGAUGAUCAGCCACAUCGGGACUGAGACACGGCCCGAACUCCUACGGGAGGCAGCAGUGGGGAAUAUUGGACAAUGGGGGAAACCCUGAUCCAGCCAUGCCGCGUGUGUGAAGAAGGCCCUCGGGUUGUAAAGCACUUUCAGCGAGGAAGAACGCCUAGCGGUUAAUACCCGCUAGGAAAGACAUCACUCGCAGAAGAAGCACCGGCUAACUCCGUGCCAGCAGCCGCGGUAAUACGGAGGGUGCAAGCGUUAAUCGGAAUUACUGGGCGUAAAGCGCGCGUAGGUGGCUUGAUAAGCCGGUUGUGAAAGCCCCGGGCUCAACCUGGGAACGGCAUCCGGAACUGUCAAGCUAGAGUGCAGGAGAGGAAGGUAGAAUUCCCGGUGUAGCGGUGAAAUGCGUAGAGAUCGGGAGGAAUACCAGUGGCGAAGGCGGCCUUCUGGACUGACACUGACACUGAGGUGCGAAAGCGUGGGUAGCAAACAGGAUUAGAUACCCUGGUAGUCCACGCCGUAAACGAUGUCGACCAGCCGUUGGGUGCCUAGCGCACUUUGUGGCGAAGUUAACGCGAUAAGUCGACCGCCUGGGGAGUACGGCCGCAAGGUUAAAACUCAAAUGAAUUGACGGGGGCCCGCACAAGCGGUGGAGCAUGUGGUUUAAUUCGAUGCAACGCGAAGAACCUUACCUACUCUUGACAUCCUGCGAAUUUGGUAGAGAUACCUUAGUGCCUUCGGGAACGCAGAGACAGGUGCUGCAUGGCUGUCGUCAGCUCGUGUUGUGAAAUGUUGGGUUAAGUCCCGUAACGAGCGCAACCCUUGUCCUUAUUUGCCAGCGCGUAAUGGCGGGAACUCUAAGGAGACUGCCGGUGACAAACCGGAGGAAGGUGGGGACGACGUCAAGUCAUCAUGGCCCUUACGAGUAGGGCUACACACGUGCUACAAUGGUCGGUACAAAGGGUUGCCAACUCGCGAGAGUGAGCUAAUCCCGAAAAGCCGAUCUCAGUCCGGAUCGGAGUCUGCAACUCGACUCCGUGAAGUCGGAAUCGCUAGUAAUCGUGGAUCAGAAUGCCAC
rnacentral:rRNA from 1 species